rnacentral:rRNA from 1 species
GAUGAACGCUGGCGGCGUGCCUAAUACAUGCAAGUCGAGCGAACAGAUAAGGAGCUUGCUCCUUUGACGUUAGCGGCGGACGGGUGAGUAACACGUGGGUAACCUACCUAUAAGACUGGGAUAACUUCGGGAAACCGGAGCUAAUACCGGAUAACAUUUGGAACCGCAUGGUUCUAAAGUGAAAGAUGGUUUUGCUAUCACUUAUAGAUGGACCCGCGCCGUAUUAGCUAGUUGGUAAGGUAACGGCUUACCAAGGCGACGAUACGUAGCCGACCUGAGAGGGGGGUAGCCCACCUGGGAAGUGGACCACGCACAUGACUCCUACGGUAGGCCGCAGUAUGGUAUGUUCCGCAGUGGGCGAAAACCUGGCGGAGCAGCGCCGCGUGAGUGAUGGAGGGUUCCGGCUCGUAAAACUCUGUUACUAGUGAAGAACAAAUGUGUAAGUAGCUGUGCACGUCUUGACGGUACCUAAUCAGAAAGCCACGGCUAACUACGUG